UACGUAGGGCGCAAGCGUUAUCCGGAAUUAUUGGGCGUAAAGAGCGUGUAGGCGGCCACACAGGUCAGCUGUGAAAACUCGAGGCUCAACCUCGAGACGUCGGUUGAAACCGUAUGGCUAGAGUCCGGAAGAGGAGAGUGGAAUUCCCGGUGUAGCGGUGAAAUGCGCAGAUAUCGGGAAGAACACCCGUGGCGAAGGCGGCUCUCUGGGACGGUACUGACGCUGAGACGCGAAAGCGUGGGGAGCGAACAGG
rnacentral:rRNA from 1 species